UUGCACACACAAAAGUUGCAGCAAACCCCCUUUGCGAAUUGUACCAUUGUCCCCCUGGCCGGUUGGGGUGUCGCCACCCCGGCCGGCCAACCCAGGCCCUCCGGGCGACCUGGGGCUCCCUCCCUCGGGGGGUGAGUCUCGGGAACCCCGGGACGGCUUGGCAACCAAACCGAUUGCGCAAUGCAUCAACACUUUCAACAUGACUGAGUCAUAAAUCGGAGGGGGCAUCGGAUUCACCUCUGGUGCCCCCCUCCUGAGUUGUAAUAAACAAAAACAACUCUCAGCAACGGAUAUCUUGGCUCUUGCAACGAUGAAGAACGCAGCGAAAUGCGAUACGUAGUGUGAAUUGCAGAAUUCCGCGAAUCAUCGAGUCUUUGAACGCAAGUUGCGCCCGAGGCUUGACCAAGGGCAUUCCUGCCAGAGCGUCACCGCGACACCCACCAAUCCACUCCACGUGGAUCGAGUGAAAGUGGCCAUCCGAAUGGGGCCACCCGGGGGGCCUUUUUGGUCCCCUCAGGGCGGCAGAUUGGGUUGGCUGAAAUGGAGGGAAUUUGGCCGCCGUGGUGACACAGCCCGCGAUCAGGUGAUCCAGGCUCCGUCCUGGAACUCAAUGCGCGUUGGCUGUGCCCCCCAGUUGGCACCAGGAUUCCAAAGCAGGUCUUGCUCCGACUCUCUCUCUCUCUGUGUGGGAGAGGAGGAGUAACAACGUCACGCAUCAGACCUCUGAUCAGGAAAGACUACCCGCUGAGUUUAAGCAUAUCACUAAGCGGAGGAGAAGAAAC
rnacentral:sRNA from 1 species